rfam:Paenibacillus sp. HGF7 contig00190, whole genome shotgun sequence.
CAGCAACAACAAGCGCCAGAACUUGCGCGGGAAGCGUCCGAAUUGUACAUGCGGGUUAAUCGACCCGGUAUGGCAAAGAUAACGUGGAGCCGGCAAGUUGACGAGGUGAAGGUGUUCGAAUUUUUCGGCGGGGACCUUCCGGUAGUUCAUUCCUACCGACAAGCUGGAGAGCAAACUGUCCGGGUGACCGGGCACACAAGAAUCCAGCCGAAUGAUUC